UACGUAGGCGGAAUAAUAAGUCAGUGGUGAAAUCUCCCGGCUCAACCGGGAAACUGCCAUUGAUACUGUUAUUCUUGAAUGUAGUUGAGGUAGGCGGAAUGUGUAAUGUAGCGGUGAAAUGCUUAGAUAUUACACAGAACACCGAUUGCGAAGGCAGCUUACUAAACUAUGAUUGACGCUGAGGCACGAAAGCGUGGGGAGCGAACAGGAUUAGAUACCUGGUAGUCC
rnacentral:rRNA from 1 species